rnacentral:rRNA from 1 species
ACGCUGGCGGCGUGCCUAAUACAUGCAAGUAGAACGCUGAAGGAGGAGCUUGCUUCUCCGGAUGAGUUGCGAACGGGUGAGUAACGCGUAGGUAACCUGCCUGGUAGCGGGGGAUAACUAUUGGAAACGAUAGCUAAUACCGCAUAAUAGUAGAUGUUGCAUGACAUUUGCUUAAAAGGUGCAAUUGCAUCACUACCAGAUGGACCUGCGUUGUAUUAGCUAGUUGGUGGGGUAACGGCUCACCAAGGCGACGAUACAUAGCCGACCUGAGAGGGUGAUCGGCCACACUGGGACUGAGACACGGCCCAGACUCCUACGGGAGGCAGCAGUAGGGAAUCUUCGGCAAUGGACGGAAGUCUGACCGAGCAACGCCGCGUGAGUGAAGAAGGUUUUCGGAUCGUAAAGCUCUGUUGUAAGAGAAGAACGAGUGUGAGAGUGGAAAGUUCACACUGUGACGGUAUCUUACCAGAAAGGGACGGCUAACUACGUGCCAGCAGCCGCGGUAAUACGUAGGUCCCGAGCGUUGUCCGGAUUUAUUGGGCGUAAAGCGAGCGCAGGCGGUUAGAUAAGUCUGAAGUUAAAGGCUGUGGCUUAACCAUAGUACGCUUUGGAAACUGUUUAACUUGAGUGCAAGAGGGGAGAGUGGAAUUCCAUGUGUAGCGGUGAAAUGCGUAGAUAUAUGGAGGAACACCGGUGGCGAAAGCGGCUCUCUGGCUUGUAACUGACGCUGAGGCUCGAAAGCGUGGGGAGCAAACGGGAUUAGAUACCCUGGUAGUCCACGCCGUAAACGAUGAGUGCUAGGUGUUAGACCCUUUCCGGGGUUUAGUGCCGCAGCUAACGCAUUAAGCACUCCGCCUGGGGAGUACGACCGCAAGGUUGAAACUCAAAGGAAUUGACGGGGGCCCGCACAAGCGG